CAGUGUAUAGAUCCUGUCAAUUUUGUUAUUUAGCUAGUCCCUUGGAAAUACUUGAUAAGCUGUUCCUUUGUUUUGAUUUUCAGUUAUGACCAAGCUUAUGUGACUGUAAAAUUCCCUCAAUUUUAAAACUUGAGAGCCAAGUGUAACACACACCUUUAAUCCCAGCAGUUAAAUGCUUUUGAUUUUCAACCUCAACCAUUAAUAUUUUACAUACUAUAAACCACCCAAGUUAGACGGCCAAUACUAAAGUAUGUAAGCUGACCUGUGCAGGUCAGGAGCUAAAACCCCUAGCCAGCGGCCCCUGUAGCACUUAACCUGUCAGCACUUUACACUGUGUGCACUUUGAGCUAAUGUCUCGGCUUGCAGAGAUCAAGGUGUUUCGAUUCACUCAAGGUCACUAAAGGUUAUUUCCUAUCAUGCACCCUCUCGUAAAAUCCUUAAAGUUUGAGUGUGAAGAAAACUACAGAUUCUAGAAAUUUUAUGUAACUAACUCUCUCAAAUCCCCCCCAUGCUGGGGGGGUGGGGGGGAGGUCCAAAGGUAUGUCUCAUUCUUAUUCACAGCAAAUAAAGAAAAAAACUGUUCCUAGGGGAACAGGUUGUGAGGCUCUCUAGUCACAUGCUUCUAUUUGAACAAGCCUUAUGUGUUUUGUAAUAGUAAACUUGGAAGCAGUGUAGCCCAACUUUGUCAUAUACAGCCUUUCUUGUUUUGAGAAACAUAGUACUUAACCACUAUAGUUAGGAGGAUUAGAGAAAUUACAAAUAGGAACACAGCACAUAUUCUAAUGCCUUAUCUGAACACAUGGCAUUAGAGAUGACCAGCAAAGCGUGUUGAGUAUUGAAGUUUUAUGUUAGCAAGCAGGUAAAUACACUUUAGGAGUCCACAGAUGAGGAGGAUAUCCAAAGCAUUAUGGCUUACUAACCUUUUAUUUGCCCCUUUGAACUAAUAAAAUUUAAAAAAAAUUCAGAAUUACAAAUAUGGCUCAUCCACUAAGCCCUGCCCAAGUUUGAUCCCUAACACCCAUAUAGCACCUCAAAAUCAUCUGUUAACUCUAGUUGCAGGGGAUCUGAUACCAUCUUCUGGCCUCCCUAGGCACAGUCUACACAUGGUACAAACACACACAGGCAAAACACUCCUACACAGAUUAAAUUUUUAAAUGUUUCUAUGAAUGAUAUGGCAGAGUUGGUUACAAUAUAAAAGCAAGUUUUUGAAAAAUAUUAUAAAAUGCCCACAAGGAGUCACUCAUUAACUGCAGAAAGGACUGCAUGUAAAGCUAUGUGUGCCUGUUAGAAGACAGGUGUGUCAAAUCAUUGAAAGCCUUCCUACUAAGGAGCACAGCCAAUCAUUCUUUGAUAGUAAUUUUAAUUUUCUCUAGGCUUACAUAACCUUUUCAAGUUGAAGACUGUAUUUGAUUAAAAGCUACUAGGCAUAACAUUUAAGAGCUCCAUAUUAAAGGGCUGUUAAGAUGAUUUGUAAAAGACCCUUCUUAAUUCUAUUUUCUUAAGUGCUUUGUUUACCACAAACCAAAGUUGAGUGAAGUGACUUCUCCAGGAGACAAGGCCCAGUGGGAAAAUCGGAUUCUUUUUCAGACCCAGAGUUCCACAUUCCUAGUUUCUGUAGCUUUUUUUUUUUUUUAAAAUUCUGAUGUACUCACCUAAGCAUGUUUCUUGGUCAUGCAUGUUAAGCAUCCAGUUGGUUUUUGCACGAACAUAUUUAACAUGCGGAGGAUAAACUAGGCAAGCACUUGCUACAGUUUCUACCAGAAAUUAUAAUUGGAGAGAAUUGUAAAUGGCGACAAAGAGAUAGUUGUAGAUCAGUGGCACAACACCCCAGCACAUCUGGGGCCAUGGGCUUCAGAGAACAGCAGGCCAGAAGCUAACCUGGAAAGCUCUCCACAUAAGUCCUCAAGCUUGGUUUCAUUGGGACCUAAAGUCUUAGGCUGGGAGGGGGACAAACCAGUGAACUCCCAACACACUGCCUGUCUCCAGUGCUGGGGAUUACAAGGCAGCAGUCCAACAUCUGACUACAAUGUAGAGACUGAACUAGCUCAUGCUUACAUACAUACUCUUGGCAGAGCUUGUUCCCAAUCCCUAGGUAGCUGAGCAAAUUUUGAAGAGCAAAAGGGUUACCAUGGUGGAACAAUUAACUCUGGGCCUGGAUUUUCCAUUUCAUCAUGCUCAUUUAUAGUUUGGUUCCUGGCCACAGCUUACCUUUGAAGUUGACAUUACUAGGAUAGAAGCCGUAGCUUACUCUCUAAAAAUUUUACUACUUUGGUAAUGCCAACUAGACCAAGUAGUGCUGAAAGACAAUUAUCUUUGACUACUAUUGAUUUUUAGCAAAUUCCCCAGCCUUUGACCAUUCUGCAAAUGAGAAGGAAUACUUAAGGAAGCUGGAACACAAACUACCCCAUUUUGUAAACUAUUCCAGAAGGCCCAUGGUUGUAUCUGAGACCUUUUAUAUCUGUAGAUUCUAAACCACUGACAAGUACAAGGGGAAAAUACAAUGAGCUGCUGCUCAACAAGGUAAGAAACUACAGCCAAUGAACAGCUCAGUGGGUAAAGACAACUCGCAAGCCUGGCAAACUCAAGUUACUAACGGAGAGGAUGGAGUGAAAUCUCCCAAAAUGUCCUCUGGCACAAAUGUCCCACACUCAUCAAAAAAUGUAUUUAAAAAAAUAAAUCCAGGAAAAACCCUAAACCCGCGAACUGCCAUCCUUUAAAUAUGCCCUACCUCAUAUCUUACAUAGC
rnacentral:lncRNA from 1 species